AGAGUUUGAUCCUGGCUCAGGAUGAACGCUGGCGGCGUGCCUAACACAUGCAAGUCGAACGGAAUUUACAUGAAGCCUAGCGAUUGUAAAUUUAGUGGCGGACGGGUGAGUAACGCGUGGGUAACCUGCCUUGUACUGGGGGACAACAGUUGGAAACGGCUGCUAAAACCGCAUAAGCGCACAGUAUCGCAUGAUACAGUGUGAAAAACUCCGGUGGUAUGAGAUGGACCCGCGUCUGAUUAGCUAGUUGGUGAGGUAACGGCCCACCAAGGCAACGAUCAGUAGCCGGCCUGAGAGGGUGAACGGCCACAUUGGGACUGAGACACGGCCCAAACUCCUACGGGAGGCAGCAGUGGGGAAUAUUGCACAAUGGGGGAAACCCUGAUGCAGCGACGCCGCGUGAGUGAUGAAGUAUUUCGGUAUGUAAAGCUCUAUCAGCAGGGAAGAUAAUGACAGUACCUGACUAAGAAGCACCGGCUAAAUACGUGCCAGCAGCCGCGGUAAUACGUAUGGUGCAAGCGUUAUCCGGAUUUACUGGGUGUAAAGGGUGCGUAGGUGGUGAGACAAGUCUGAAGUGAAAAUCCGGGGCUUAACCCCGGAACUGCUUUGGAAACUGCCUGACUAGAGUACAGGAGAGGUAAGUGGAAUUCCUAGUGUAGCGGUGAAAUGCGUAGAUAUUAGGAGGAACACCAGUGGCGAAGGCGACUUACUGGACUGCUACUGACGCUGAGGCUCGAAAGUGUGGGGAGCAAACAGGAUUAGAUACCCUGGUAGU
rnacentral:rRNA from 1 species